rnacentral:rRNA from 1 species
UACGUAGGCAGCGAGCGUUGUUCGGAGUUACUGGGCGUAAAGAGUGCGUAGGCGGUUUUCUAAGUUUGGUGUGAAAUCUCCCGGCUCAACUGGGAGGGGUCGUGCGAUACGGGCGGGCUCGAGGCAGGUAGGGGGAAGCGGAAUUCCCGGUGUAGUGGUGGAAUGCGUAGAUAUCGGGAGGAACACCAGUGGCGAAGGCGACUACCUGGCCUGUUCUUGACGCUGAGGCGCGAAAGCUAGGGGAGCAAACGGG